CGGCGAGUGAAGCGGCAACAGCUCAAAUUUGAAAUCUGGCUCUCGGGCCCGAGUUGUAAUUUGUAGAGGAUACUUUUGAUGCGGUGCCUUCCGAGUUCCCUGGAACGGGACGCCAUAGAGGGUGAGAGCCCCGUCUGGUUGGAUGCCAAAUCUCUGUAAAGUUCCUUCGACGAGUCGAGUAGUUUGGGAAUGCUGCUCUAAAUGGGAGGUAUAUGUCUUCUAAAGCUAAAUACCGGCCAGAGACCGAUAGCGCACAAGUAGAGUGAUCGAAAGAUGAAAAGCACUUUGAAAAGAGAGUUAAAAAGUACGUGAAAUUGUUGAAAGGGAAGCGUUUAUGACCAGACUUGGGCUUGGUUAAUCAUCUGGGGUUCUCCCCAGUGCACUUUUCCAGUCCAGGCCAGCAUCAGUUUUCCCCGGGGGAUAAAGACUUCGGGAAUGUGGCUCUCUUCGGGGAGUGUUAUAGCCCGUUGUGUAAUACCCUGGGGGGGACUGAGGUUCGCGCAUCUGCAAGGAUGCUGGCGUAAUGGUCAUCAACGACCCGUCUUGAAACACGGACCAAGGAGUCGUCUUCGUAUG
rnacentral:rRNA from 1 species